rnacentral:lncRNA from 1 species
GAGGCACUUGGACUGGCGGACUAGGCGGCGGAUCUUCUCAAUGUCCGGCGACAUGUGCUUGAUGACAGCGGUGAGCACGCUCACCUUCCAGGCCUUCUUGAGGUCAUGGGGCUUCUUGUAGGGGGGCGGGCCCUGGUCCUUGGGGAUGCCAAGCUCCGGCCACCACUCCUCGUCGCCGGUGGGCCACCACGGCGGCGGCACACCCUUCUCCAGCGGGUAGCGCCGCUGCGGGGGAUCGCAGUGCUGCAUCAGGGCCGAGAGCAGCGAGCCGAGCGUGGUGUCCUGCAGCUCCUGCAGGGAGUGCGGGCUGGCGGUGCCGGAGGUGAGCUCGUUCUCAGCGCCCGGGACGGCGUUGUCAGCCUGGUACUUGGCGAUGGCUGCUGGGCCGUUCCGGUCAAACCGGACCUUCUCCUUCCACCAGGCACGGAGAUUGUCGGAGGCGCCGCUCACAGGCUUGCCCUUCUCCGGGAUGAUCCCGUACACGAACCCCUGCGCUCGGCACACCUCCAUCAUCUUGAGCAUGUACUUGAGGAUGCCGUCCUGGGCGCGGGACAUCUUCUUGCGCCGCGCCUGCUCCUGCGACUGCCUUGGCUUGGACGACCCAUCCCCCACACCACUGCCUGCAGCCGCCUGGUCCUUGCCACGGCUCUGCUGCAGCUCCCUGAGCCGCUUCAGCU